GGACAAUGGGCGAAAGCCUGACCCAGCCAUGCCGCGUGUGUGAAGAAGGCCUUCGGAUUGUAAAGCACUUUUAGUUGGGACGAAGGGCAUUAACCUAAUACCCCAGUUGUUUUGACGUUACCGACAGAAUAAGCACCGC
rnacentral:rRNA from 1 species